rnacentral:rRNA from 1 species
CCUACGGGUGGCAGCAGUAGGGAAUAUUGCUCAAUGGGGGAAACCCUGAAGCAGCAACGCCGCGUGGAGGAUGACGGUUUUCGGAGUGUAAACUCCUUUUGUUAGAGAAGAUAAUGACGGUAUGUAACGAAUAAGCACCGGCUAACUACGUGCCAGCAGCCGCGGUAAUACGGAGGGUGCAAGCGUUACUCGGAAUCACUGGGCGUAAAGAGCGCGUAGGCGGGAUAGCAAGUCAGAUGGGAAAUCGUAUGGCUUAACCAUAGAACUGCAUUUGAAACUGUUAUUCUAGAGUAUAGGAGAGGUAGGUGGAAUUCUUGGUGUAGGGGUAAAAUCCGUAGAGAUCACGAAGAAUACUCAUUGCGAAGGCGACCUGCUAGAACGUAACUGACGCUGAUGCGCGAAAGCGUGGGGAGCAAACAGGAUUAGAUACCCUAGUAGUC